ensembl:lncRNA
CGGGGAGCCGGGAACACGGCAGCGGGGCCGGGGGGCCGGGGCAGGCCCGGCGGGGAGACCAGGCACAACCACAGCAGCAGGAAAGGGCCUUGAAAACACACACGUGUUGGAUGUGUUUCUGGUUUAGCCACCACCAUCCCCAGCCCCUCUGUCCUGGGCAUCGAUGCUGGGGGGCUCCAGCCCCUUGGGGUGAGACUGAAGGGUUCGGAGAGCCUGGGCAGCACUGGGGACCCAGACCCACUGCUGCCCACACAGCUACUGUGACCAGCCCAACACCGGGAGCCUCCUCUCUUCUUGGGGAAAAAAAGAGGAUUCCUACACAGAUAAAAUGAAAAAUCAUCCACACAGAAUGCUUGUCUGCUGGGCUCUGCUUAGAAGGAGACAAGUUCAUUCACCAAUACCAGGAACUGGGAAGUGAUGGUCAUAAUGUCCCUAAGAGCUUCAAGUUCCACAAGCUGGAUUCAAGUGAGCAUCAGGCAACUCUUGGCACUGCUCCAAGGGGUACUUGCACUAUAUUGCUGAGAGAACAGAAAGGCUGAGAUGAGUCAAGAGCCUUUUUAAAGGCUGCCAAAGAUAGCUUUUUCCCAGAUGCUCUUGGUCCAGUGGGAUGUGUGCCCUAGCAGAAAGAGCAGAGCUGCUGUGGGCUGUACCACCCCACUCUGCAGUAGAGCAGGAGCUCUGAUGGCAGCAGUGGCACAUUGUCACACUGGGUGAGGAGGGUUAUGUGACUGCACUUCAGCAGGAACUGGGCUCCUCCACGGCUGGGGGCAGCUUGUGGCAUCCAGCAGCCAUUGGUGCAGCUUCCUGCUUCCACAAGAACCAAGUGUCUGCACUGGAGCUGGUGUCUCAGCCAUUCAAGGAUUUUUUCCAUCUUUCCCUAUAAUGAAGUAUUCCUUCCUUUACUGUGCUGGCUCCUUGGCUUCUCACUUCAGUUAAAAGGAAAAUCUGACCUCAUUUCCCACACACUGCUCUUCAUCUAAUAGCUGAAAGUGUGUUUUAAAAGGCUGUGAUAAAAUCAUAGAAUUAUUUUGGUGAAAAAAGCCCCCAGCACUACCAAGGCCAUCACUAAACCAUGUCACCAAGUGCCAUAUCUUCAUGUAUGUUAAAUCCCCCCAGGGAUGGUGAUGGUUUGUGACAUGCCUGUGUCAGUGUCACAAACAAACUUCCUCCAAUAUCCAACCUAAACCUCCCCUGGUACAACUUGAGACCAUUUCUGCUCAUCCCAUUGCUUGUUCCUUGGGAGAAGAGACCGACCCCCACUUCACUGUCUCCUCUUUUCAAGGAGUUGUAGAGAGCAAGAAGGUUCCACUGAGCCUCCCAUACCCCAGAGUCCCUUCUGUUCCUCAGCUGCUCCUUGUCAGAAUUGUGCUCCAGCUCCUUCCCCAGCUCUGUUGCCCUUCUCUGGACAUAUGCACUGACCUCUUUAAGAAGGGUCAGUUGCAAGAACUAGGACUGGUCCUUCCCGUACAGUGAAUUUGCUUCACAACAGUCCAAGCCAUUCACUGGCCACUGUUCUCAUGUGGUUUUCAUAGUCUCCGUGCUUGGGUUAAAGCAUCCCUGAUGCUGGAUCACAAGUGGGUUUUGCAAGCUGGGGAGCACCCAGGAAAAACUCUGGGCUAUGGUGAUUGCAGCAAGAUCUUGUGGUGCUGUGGUAGAGCUGGCUAGAACACAAGGGAUUUCUAUAACUGCUAAUUUAUGCAGGUUCACAAUAUAAGAGUGUGGGGGGUUCACAAUAUAAACUUGUGGUGUUUUCAUGUCAGACAGGAGAAAUUUUAAUAUGUUAAGCAUGCAACUGCAAACCAAAUAAACCUAAGUACAUCAUCUACCA